AUUGAACGCUGGCGGCAGGCCUAACACAUGCAAGUCGAACGAGUGGCGGACGGGUGAGUAAGUUCUGGGCAACUGCCUGAUGGAGGGAGCUAACUACUGGAACAGGUAGAUAAUACCGCAUAACAUCGGCUCUGCCCAUGUGGGAUUAGCUAGUAGGUGGGGUAAAGGCUCACAUAGGCGACGAGCCCUAUCUGGGCUGAGAGGGUGACCGGCCACACUGGAACUGAGACACGGACCAGACUCCUACGGGAGGCAGCAGUAGGGAAUAUUGGACAAUGGACGCAAGCCUGAUCCAGCCAUGCCGCGUGUGUGAAGAAGGCCUUCGGAUUGUAAAGCACUGUCAUUGGGGAAGCGGUACCUACAGAGAAAGCACCGGCUAACUCCGUGCCAGCAGCCGCGGUAAUUC
rnacentral:rRNA from 1 species